GACGAACGCUGGCGACGUGCCUAAUACAUGCAAGUAGAACGCUGAAGGAGGAGCUUGCUCUUCUGGAUGAGUUGCGAACGGGUGAGUAACGCGUAGGUAACCUGCCUGGUAGCGGGGGAUAACUAUUGGAAACGAUAGCUAAUACCGCAUAAGAGUAGAUGUUGCAUGACAUUUACUUAAAAGGUGCAAUUGCAUCACUACCAGAUGGACCUGCGUUGUAUUAGCUAGUUGGUGGGGUAACGGCUUACCAAGGCGACGAUACAUAGCCGACCUGAGAGGGUGAUCGGCCACACUGGGACUGAGACACGGCCCAGACUCCUACGGGAGGCAGCAGUAGGGAAUCUUCGGCAAUGGACGGAAGUCUGACCGAGCAACGCCGCGUGAGUGAAGAAGGUUUUCGGAUCGUAAAGCUCUGUUGUAAGAGAAGAACGAGUGUGAGAGUGGAAAGUUCACACUGUGACGGUAUCUUACCAGAAAGGGACGGCUAACUACGUG
rnacentral:rRNA from 1 species